rnacentral:rRNA from 1 species
UAGGGAAUCUUCGGCAAUGGACGAAAGUCUGACCGAGCAACGCCGCGUGAGUGAAGAAGGUUUUCGGAUCGUAAAACUCUGUUGUUAGAGAAGAACAAGGACGUUAGUAACUGAACGUCCCCUGACGGUAUCUAACCAGAAAGCCACGGCUAACUACGUGCCAGCAGCCGCGGUAAUACGUAGGUGGCAAGCGUUGUCCGGAGUUAUUGGGCGUAAAGCGAGCGCAGGCGGUUUCUUAAGUCUGAUGUGAAAGCCCCCGGCUAAACCGGGGAGGGUCAUUGGAAACGGGGAGACUUGAGUGCAGAAGAGGAGAGUGGAAUUCCAUGGGUAGCGGUAAAAUGCGUAGGUAUAUGGAGGAACACCAGUGGCAAAGGCGGCUCUCUGGUCUGUAACUGACGCUGAGGCUCGAAAGCGUGGGGAGCAAACAGG